rnacentral:rRNA from 1 species
AUUGAACGCUGGCGGCAGGCCUAACACAUGCAAGUCGAGCGGAUGAAGGGAGCUUGCUCCUGGAUUCAGCGGCGGACGGGUGAGUAAUGCCUAGGAAUCUGCCUGUUAGUGGGGGAUAACGUCCGGAAACGGGCGCUAAUACCGCAUACGUCCUGAGGGAGAAAGAGGGUGAGCUUCGGACCUCACGCUAUCAGAUGAGCCUAGGUCGGAUUAGCUAGUUGGUGGGGUAAAGGCCUACCAAGGCGACGAUCCGUAACUGGUCUGAGAGGAUGAUCAGUCACACUGGAACUGAGACACGGUCCAGACUCCUACGGGAGGCAGCAGUGGGGAAUAUUGGACAAUGGGCGAAAGCCUGAUCCAGCCAUGCCGCGUGUGUGAAGAAGGUCUUCGGAUUGUAAAGCACUUUAAGUUGGGAGGAAGGGCAGUAAGUUAAUACCUUGCUGUUUUGACGUUACCAACAGAAUAAGCAACGGCUAACUUCGUG